rnacentral:rRNA from 1 species
GUCCUAGCCGUAAACGAUGAGCACUAGGUGUUGGGGGUUACUUUCAGCGCCGUAAGAUAACUCGUUAAGUGCUCCACCUGGGGACUACGACCGCAAGGUUAAAACUCAAAGGAAUUGACGGGGCCCGCACAAGCGGUGGAACAUGUGGUUCAAUUCGACGCUACGCGAAGAACCUCACCAGGGCUUGACAUGCAGGAAGUAGUGAACUGAAAAGGGACUACCUGUCAAGUCAGGAGCCUGCACAGGUGCUGCAUGGCUGUCGU